rnacentral:rRNA from 1 species
UACGUAGGGGGCAAGCGUUGUCCGGAAUCAUUGGGCGUAAAGCGCGUGUAGGCGGCUCGAUAAGUCCGUUCUGAAAGUCCAGGGCUCAACCCUGGGAUGCGGAUGGAUACUGUCGAGCUCGAGUCCGGAAGAGGCGAGUGGAAUUCCUGGUGUAGCGGUGAAAUGCGCAGAUAUCAGGAGGAACACCAAUGGCGAAGGCAGCUCGCUGGGACGUGACUGACGCUGAGACGCGAAAGCGUGGGGAGCAAGCAGG